rnacentral:rRNA from 1 species
ACUCAAAUGAAUUGACGGGGACCCGCACAAGCAGUGGAUUAUGUGGUUUAAUUCGAGGCUAAGCGAAAAACCUUACCGAGACUUGACAUCCUAGGAAUCCACCCGAAAGGGAGGAGUGCCUUCGGGAACCUAGUGACAGGUGCUGCAUGGCCGUCGUCAGCUCGUGUCGUGAGAUGUUGGGUUAAGUCCCGCAACGAGCGCAACCCCUGUCGUGUGUUAUAUUUUCACACGAGACUGCCCGGGCCAACCGGGAGGAAGGUGGGGACGACGUCUGGUCAGCAUGGCCCUUACGUCUCGGGCCACACACGUAAUACAAUGGACAGUACAACGGGCAGCCAAGCCGCAAGGCGGAGCAAAUCCCAUCAAAACUGUUCUCAGUUCGGAUAGAGGGCUGAAACUCGCCCUCUUGAAGCCGGAAUUGCUAGUAAUGGCGGAUCAGCAUGCCGCCGUGAAUACGUUCUCGGGUCUUGUACACACCGCCCGU